rnacentral:rRNA from 1 species
GUGGGGAAUAUUGGACAAUGGGCGCAAGCCUGAUCCAGCCAUGCCGCGUGAGUGAUGAAGGCCUUAGGGUUGUAAAGCUCUUUCACCGAUGAAGAUAAUGACGGUAGUCGGAGAAGAAGCCCCGGCUAACUUCGUGCCAGCAGCCGCGGUAAUACGAAGGGGGCUAGCGUUGUUCGGAUUUACUGGGCGUAAAGCGCACGUAGGCGGUUUGUUAAGUCAGGGGUGAAAUCCCGGAGCUCAACUCCGGAACUGCCUUUGAUACUGGCAAGCUAGAGUCCGGAAGAGGUAAGUGGAACUCCUAGUGUAGAGGUGGAAUUCGUAGAUAUUAGGAAGAACACCAGUGGCGAAGGCGGCUUACUGGUCCGGAACUGACGCUGAGGUGCGAAAGUGUGGGGAGCAAACAGGAUUAGAAACCCUAGUAGUCC